rnacentral:rRNA from 1 species
UACGUAGGGUGCAAGCGUUGUCCGGAAUUAUUGGGCGUAAAGAGCUCGUAGGCGGUCUGUCACGUCGAAUGUGAAAACCCGAGGCUCAACUUCGGGCCUGCAUUCGAUACGGGCAGACUAGAGUUCGGUAGGGGAGUCUGGAAUUCCUGGUGUAGCGGUGAAAUGCGCAGAUAUCAGGAGGAACACCGGUGGCGAAGGCGGAUCUCUGGGCCGAUACUGACGCUGAGGAGCGAAAGCGUGGGGAGCGAACAGG